GGGGGCCCGCACAAGCGGUGGAGCAUGUUGGUUUAAUUCGAAGCAACGCGAAGAACCUUACCAGGUCUUGACAUCCCGAUGCUAUUUCUAGAGAUAGAAAGUUACUUCGGUACAUCGGUGACAGGUGGUGCAUGGUUGUCGUCAGCUCGUGUCGUGAGAUGUUGGGUUAAGUCCCGCAACGAGCGCAACCCCUAUUGUUAGUUGCCAUCAUUCAGUUGGGCACUCUAGCGAGACUGCCGGUAAUAAACCGGAGGAAGGUGGGGAUGACGUCAAAUCAUCAUGCCCCUUAUGACCUGGGCUACACACGUGCUACAAUGGUUGGUACAACGAGUUGCGAGUCGGUGACGGCGAGCUAAUCUCUUAAAGCCAAUCUCAGUUCGGAUUGUAGGCUGCAACUCGCCUACAUGAAGUCGGAAUCGCUAGUAAUCGCGGAUCAGCACGCCGCGGUGAAUACGUUCCCGGGCCUU
rnacentral:rRNA from 1 species